GGGGUCAGAUAUGGGAUGGGGGGACCCUAUGGGGUCACAUUGGGGGACAUUUGGGGUCAUUUGGGGGGGGUUUCGGGGGGACAUUUGGGGUCACAGUGGGGGGGGGGGACACAGAUGGUGGCCCCACAGGGGGGGCUCCCUUAAAGGGACAGGCGACCCUAAAAGGUCCAACCCCAUUCAUCUUAAAGUGACAGGAGACCCUAAAAGCAAAACCCCAUUCAUCUUAAAGGGACAGGAGACCCUAAAAGCCCAACCCCAUUCAUCUUAAAGGGACAGGCCACCCUAAAAGCAAAACCCCAUUCAUCUUAAAGGGACAGAGACCCUAAAAGCAAAACCCCAUUCAUCUUAAAGGGACAGGCCACCCUAAAAGCCCAACCCCAUUCAUCUUAAAGGGAUAGGAGACCCUAAAAGCCCAAUCCCAUUCAUCUUAAAGGGACAGGCCACCCUAAAAGGCCCAACCCCAUUCAUCUUAAAGGGACAGGCCACCCUAAAAGGCCCAACCCCAUUCAUCUUAAAGGGACAGGCGACCCUAUAAGCCCAACCUCAUUCAUCUUAAAGGGACAGGAGACCCUAAAAGGCCAACUCCAUUCGUCUUAAAGGGACAGGCCACCCUAAAAGCCCAACCCCAUUCAUCUUAAAGGGACAGCGACCCCCAUAAAACACCAAGCCUGGAAGUCUUAAAGGGCCAGGCAUCCCUAAAAGCCAAAUCCUAUUGAUCUUAAAGGGCCAGGCGCCCCUCAAAGCUUAACCCUGUUGAUUUUAAAGGGCCAGAUGCCCCCACUGAAGAUGCAUAAACCCCUCUUAAAGGGCCAGACCCCCCUUAAAAAGCCAAACACCCCCUUAAAGGGCCAAACAACCCCUUAAAGGGCCAAACACCCCCUUAAAGGGCCAAACAACCCCUUAAAAGGCCGAACACCCCUCUUAAAGGGCCAAACACCCCCUUAAAGGGCCACACUCCCACUUAAAGCGCCGGACUCCCCCUUAAAGGGCCAGACACCCCCUUAAAAGGCCAGACUCCCCACUUAAAGGGCCAGACUCCCCCUUAAAGGGCCACACUCCCAUUUAAAGGGCCAAACACCCCCUUAAAGGGCCACACUCCCACUUAAAGGGCCACACUCUCACUUAAAGGGCCAAACACCCCCUUAAAGUGCCAGACUCCCCACUUAAAGGGCCAGACCCUCCCCUUAAAUAGCCAGA
ensembl:lncRNA